GCGAGGCCUCCCUUCUCUCACCUGAGCGAGGCCGGGCUGGGCCGGGGCACUCGCGGGCCUCGGUCUCCACACCAGGAACCGUCUUAGCCAGCCUGGGGCAGACUUUGGAGUGGCAGUUGCUUCCGCCUUCUCUCCCGAGAAGUGCUCUGCUGUGAUCUGCUUCAGAAGCUGAAGGUGGGCUAUGAGGAGGCAGCAAAUCCAAAGCAAUCCACACUCCGGACCAUAUUUCUUCCGGAUACUGAAUACCUGGCCCCCACUAGAGCCCUACCAGAUGCCCAACUCUGAUGAGCCCUGUGUUUCCCAACUCAUGGCCUUGUUUGUCUACUGUCCUAGAAGGGACUCUUGUAAGCUCUCGGGGAACCUGAAACCAGACUGACCCAGAGACCCCGUCUACCUUCUCUCUCUCCUGGACACUUGCAUCAAACAGGAGAACGUCGCCCUUUCAUUCUCAGCUGGAUUUGUGCUCCUGCCCCAUACACACGGUUUAGUAAUAAUACACACCUAAUGGUAAAACUGUGAAGAAAACCAAGAGCGAUGAGCACAAACGUUAAGACAAGGCUACCUCUAGGGAGGAGGCUGAGGUUUUAUUUACAGAGGAGCCCUUGGAGGGUGUCUAAGGUCCUGGAAGAUCAAAGCUCACCUCCGAGGAACUCCCAAAGAGAAGAAAUAGCCAGCGGAACCCCCGGGGCCAGGCAGGAAAAGCCAGUAAACAAGUGAUUGACGCACUUUGUAGACAAGCUGGAGGGGCCUGGCGGGUCUGAUCUGCGGGCCAGUGUGGGCAGGGGAAGUGGAGGAAGCGUCCCGGUCCCGGUCCCGGAUGGACAACAUCUCAUUGUUCCUCUGGGUUCCCAGGGACUGAGGCAGGCCUCCAACCAAACAGGCUAUUUGUGUUGAU